CCUACGGGUGGCAGCAGUGAGGAAUAUUGGUCAAUGGGCGCGAGCCUGAACCAGCCAAGUAGCGUGAGGGAUGACUGCUCUACGGGUUGUAAACUUCUUUUAUAAGGGAAUAAAGUGAGGGACGUGUGCCUUUUUGUAUGUACUUUAUGAAUAAGGAUCGGCUAACUCCGUGCCAGCAGCCGAGGUAAUACGGAGGAUCCGAGCGUUAUCCGGAUUUAUUGGGUGUAAAGGGUGCGUAGACGGCUGUUUAAGUCAGUGGUGAAAGUCUGCGGCUCAACCGUAAAAUUGCUGUUGAUACUGGAAGGCUUGAGUACAGUGGAGGUAGGCGGAAUUCGUGGUGUAGCGGUGAAAUGCGUAGAUAUUACGAAGAACUCCGAUUGCGAAGGCAGCUUACCAAUCUAUAUCUGACGUUGAGGCACGAAAGCGUGGGGAGCAAACAGGAUUAGAUACCCCUGUAGUC
rnacentral:rRNA from 1 species